rnacentral:rRNA from 1 species
UACGGAGGGUGCAAGCGUUGUCCGGAUUUAUUGGGUUUAAAGGGUGCGUAGGCGGCUCUUUAAGUCAGUGGUGAAAUACUGCAGCUUAACUGUAGGAUUGCCAUUGAUACUGAAGAGCUUGAGUACAGAUGAGGUAGGCGGAAUUUAUGGUGUAGCGGUGAAAUGCAUAGAUACCAUAAAGAACACCUAUUGCGAAGGCAGCUUACUAAGCUGUAACUGACGCUGAGGCACGAAAGCGUGGGGAGCGAACAGG